rnacentral:rRNA from 1 species
UACGUAGGGUGCGAGCGUUGUCCGGAAUUAUUGGGCGUAAAGAGCUCGUAGGCGGUCUGUCGCGUCGAUCGUGAAAACUUGGGGCUUAACCCUGAGCUUGCGGUCGAUACGGGCAGGCUAGAGUUCGGUAGGGGAGACUGGAAUUCCUGGUGUAGCGGUGAAAUGCGCAGAUAUCAGGAGGAACACCGGUGGCGAAGGCGGGUCUCUGGGCCGAUACUGACGCUGAGGAGCGAAAGCGUGGGGAGCGAACAGG